AUUGAACGCUGGCGGCACGCCUUACACAUGCAAGUCGAACGGUAACAGGUCUUCGGAUGCUGACGAGUGGCGAACGGGUGAGUAAUACAUCGGAACGUGCCUAGUAGUGGGGGAUAACUACUCGAAAGAGUGGCUAAUACCGCAUGAGAUCUACGGAUGAAAGCAGGGGAUCGCAAGACCUUGUGCUACUAGAGCGGCCGAUGGCAGAUUAGGUAGUUGGUGGGAUAAAAGCUUACCAAGCCGACGAUCUGUAGCUGGUCGGAGAGGACGAUCAGCCACACUGGGACUGGGACACGGCCCAGACUCCUACGGGAGGCAGCAGUGGGGAAUUUUGGACAAUGGGCGCAAGCCUGAUCCAGCAAUGCCGCGUGCAGGAUGAAGGCCUUCGGGUUGUAAACUGCUUUUGUACGGAACGAAAAGCCCCGGGUUAAUACCCUGGGGUCAUGACGGUACCGUAAGAAUAAGCACCGGCUGACUACGUGCCAGCCACCGCCGUAA
rnacentral:rRNA from 1 species